rnacentral:rRNA from 1 species
UACAGAGGGUGCAAGCGUUGUUCGGAAUUAUUGGGCGUAAAGGGCGCGUAGGCGGUGCGGUAAGUCUGUAGUGAAAUCUCUGGGCUCAACUCAGAGUCUGCUGCAGAAACUGCCGUGCUUGAGUGUGGGAGAGGUGAGUGGAAUUCCCGGUGUAGCGGUGAAAUGCGCAGAUAUCGGGAAGAACACCCGUGGCGAAGGCGGCACUCUGGGACGGUACUGACGCGUGAGACGCGAAAAGCGUGGGGAGCCGAACAGG